rnacentral:rRNA from 1 species
AGGGGAUCUUCGGACCUUUCGCUAUGAGAUGAGCCUGCGUUAGAUUAGCUAGUUGGUAGGGUAAAGGCCUACCAAGGCGACGAUCUAUAGCUGGUCUGAGAGGACGAUCAGCCACACUGGGACUGAGACACGGCCCAGACUCCUACGGGAGGCAGCAGUGGGGAAUAUUGGACAAUGGGCGAAAGCCUGAUCCAGCAAUACCGCGUGUGGGAAGAAGGCCUUAGGGUUGUAAAGCACUUUCAAUUGGGAGGAAAACCUGCCGGCCAAUACCCGGUAGCUUGACAUUACCUUUAGAAGAAGCACCGGCUAACUCCGUGCCAGCAGCCGCGGUAGUACGGAGGGUGCGAGCGUUAAUCGGAAUUACUGGGCGUAAAGCGUGCGUAGGCGGCCCGUUAAGUCAGAUGUGAAAGCCCCGGGCUCAACCUGGGAACUGCAUUUGAAACUGGCGAACUAGAGUUUAGUAGAGGGGAGUGGAAUUUCAGGUGUAGCGGUGAAAUGCGUAGAUAUCUGAAGGAACACCAGUGGCGAAGGCGACUCCCUGGACUAGAACUGACGCUGAGGUACGAAAGCGUGGGUAGCAAACAGGAUUAGAUACCCUGGUAGUCCACGCCGUAAACGAUGUCGACUAGC